rnacentral:rRNA from 1 species
CCUACGGGCGGCAGCAGUGGGGAAUAUUGGGCAAUGGGCGCAAGCCUGACCCAGCAACGCCGCGUGAAGGAAGAAGGCUUUCGGGUUGUAAACUUCUUUUAAGGGGGAAGAGCAGAAGACGGUACCCCUUGAAUAAGCCACGGCUAACUACGUGCCAGCAGCCGCGGUAAUACGUAGGUGGCAAGCGUUGUCCGGAUUUACUGGGUGUAAAGGGCGUGCAGCCGGAGAGACAAGUCAGAUGUGAAAUCCACGGGCUCAACCCGUGAACUGCAUUUGAAACUGUUUCCCUUGAGUGUCGGAGAGGUAAUCGGAAGUCCUUGUGUAGCGGUGAAAUGCGUAGAUAUAAGGAAGAACACCAGUGGCGAAGGCGGAUUACUGGACGAUAACUGACGGUGAGGCGCGAAAGCGUGGGGAGCAAACAGGAUUAGAUACCCCUGUAGUC